rnacentral:rRNA from 1 species
CGGUAAUUCCUGCUCCAAUAGCGUAUACUAAAGUUGUUGCAGUUAAAAAGCUCGUAGUUGGAUUUCUGCGGGGACGGAGCGGCCGGUCGCAACUUGCGACUCGAGCUAGCGCUUUCCCCGCCUCCUGCCGCGAACCGUGCUACCAUUAGUUUGGUGGCGCUGGGGAUCGGCUCGAUUACUUUGAGAAAAAUAGAGUGUUCAAAGCAGGCCACACGCCUUGAAUAAGUUAGCAUGGAAUAAUGACUAAGGACUUUGGUUCUUUUCGUUGGUGUUCGGGACUGAAGUAAUGAUUGAUAGGGACAGUUGGGGCGGUCCGUAUUCCAAAGCGAGAGGUGAAAUUCUUAGACCUUCGGAAGACGAACAGCUGCGAAAGCGUUCCGCAAGGAUGUUCCCUUUGAUCAAGAACGAAAGUUGGGGGAUCGAAGACGAUCAGAUACCGUCGUAGUCUCAACUAUAAACUAUACCAGCUAGGGAUCGGCCAACGUUUAAUUAUUCGACUUGGUCGGCACCUUAUGAGAAAUCAAAGCAUCUGGGUUCCGGGGGGAGUAUGGUCGCAAGGCUGAAACUUAAAGGAAUUGACGGAAGGGCACCACCAGCCGUGGAGCCUGUGGCUUAAUUUGACUCAACACGGGAAAACUUACCAGGUCCAGACAUAGGAAGGAUUGACAGAUUGAUAGCUCUUUCUUGAUUCUGUGGGUGGUGGUGCAUGGCCGUUUUUAGUCGGUGGAUGUGAUCUGUCUGCUUAAUUGCGUUAACGGACGAGACCCCAGCCUGCUAAAUAGCGCGGCCGAGCUUUGCUCGGUGCGAGCUUCUUAGAGGGACCAUGAUGCGCGAUAGCACAAGGAAGUUUGGGGCAACAACAGGUCUGUGAUGCCCUUAGAUGUUCUGGGCCGCACACGGGCUACACUGGCGCCUGCAACGAGCGUAUCAGCUGGCCCGAGAGGGUCUUGGCUAAUCUUUGGAACCGGCGCCGUGCUUGGGAUUGACCAUUGCAAUUGUUGGUCAUGCAACGAGGAAUGCCUUGUAAACGCGAGUCAUCAGCUCGCAUUGAAUACGUCCCUGCCCUUUGUACACACCGCCCGUCGCUCCUACCGAUGAAUGUUCCGAUGAAAUUUUCGGAGAGCGCCGGAGAACGGGGCUCCGCCCUGCAGAACUGGAGGCUCAAAGUCACUUAAAUCUGAACAUUUCGAGGAAGGAGAAGUCGUAACAAGGUAACC